rnacentral:lncRNA from 1 species
GGGAUUGAUUUUGGGAGUUUUGGUCCCAACAUUUUAGGAAUUAGGGGCCAAAAAGGGCCCAAAUAAGCAUUUUCUUGGUUUUCGCACUAUAACUUUAGUUUAAGUAAAUAGAAAUCUAUGAAAUUUUGACACAAGGUUUAUGACCACAAAAGGAAGGUUGGGAUUGAUUUUGGGAGUUUUGGUUCCAACAGUUUAGGAAUUAGGGGCCAAAAAAAGGGCCCAAAUAAGCAUUAUUCUUGGUUUUCGUACAAUAACUUUAGUAUAAGUAAAUAGAAAUCAAUGAAAUUUAAACACAAGGUUUAUGACACAAAAGGAAGGUUGGGAUUGAUUUUGGGAGUUUUGGUCCCAACAGUUUAGGAAUUAGGGGCCAAAAAGGGGCCCAAAUAAGCAUUAUUCUUGGUUUUUGCACCAUAACUUUAGUAUAAGUGAAUAGAAAUCUAUGAAAUUUAAACACAAGGUUUAUGACCAUAAAAGGAAGG